UACGAGAGGCCCGAGCGUUAAUCGGAAUCACUGGGCUUAAAGGGUGCGCAGGCGGAGCCGCAAGCGUCUUGUGAAAUCCCACGGCUUAACCGUGGAACAGCAGGGCGAACUGCGGUUCUUGAGACAGGUAGGGGCCGGCGGAACUAUCGGUGGAGCGGUGAAAUGCGUAGAUAUCGAUGGGAACGCCAAUGGCGAAGGUAGCCGGCUGGGCCUGUUCUGACGCUCAGGCACGAAAGCGUGGGGAGCAAACAGG
rnacentral:rRNA from 1 species